rnacentral:tRNA from 3 species
GCCGAGGUCGCAUAGCUAGGAUUAGUGCGCCGGACUUGAGAUCCGGUUUCCCUUCGGGAUGCGGGAGUUCAAAUCUCCCCCUCGGCGC